rnacentral:rRNA from 1 species
UACGGGGGGGGCAAGCGUUGUUCGGAAUUACUGGGCGUAAAGGGCUCGUAGGUGGCCAACUAAGUCAACCGUGAAAUCCCUCGGCUUAACCGGGGAACUGCGUUUGAUACUGGAUGGCUUGAGUUUGGGAGAGGGAUGCGGAAUUCCAGGUGUAGCGGUGAAAUGCGUAGAUAUCUGGAGGAACACCAGCGGCGAAGGCGGCACUCUGGGCUGGAACUGACGCUGAGGAGCGAAAGCGUGGGUAGCAAACAGG